UGCCUACCUCGGAUUAGUCGGGGCAGGGCGCAGCCUGAUCAGCCAUGCCGCGGCGUGUGUGAAGAAGGCCUUCAUGGUUGUAAGAAGCACUUUAAGCGAGGAGGAGGCUACUUUAGUUAAUACCUAGAGAUAGUGGACGUUACUCGCAAAAAAAGCACCGGCUAAUUCUGUGCCAGCAGCCGCGGUAAUACAAAGGGGGCAAGCGUUAAUCGAAUUUACUGGGCGUAAAGCUUUGCGCGUAGGCGGCUAAUUAAGUCAAAUGUGAAAUCGCCCGAGCUUAACUUGGGAAUUGCAUUCAAUACUGGUUAGCUAAAUCCGUGUGGGAGAGGAUGGUAAAAUUCCAGGUGUACCGGUGAAAUGCGUAAAGAUCUGGAGAAAUACCGAUGGCAAAGGCAGCCAUCUGGCCUAACACUGACGCUGAGGUGCGAAAGCAUGGGGAGCAAACAGGAUUAGAUACCCUGGUAGUCCAUUCCGUAAACGAUGUCUACUAGCCGUUGGGGCCUUUGAGGCUUUAGUGGCGCAGCUAACGCGAUAAGUACACCGCCUGGGGAGUACGGUCGCUAAAAGGCUCAAGUACCUCAAAUGAAUUGACGGGGGCCCGCACAAGCGGUGGAGCAUGUGGUUUAAUUCGAUGCAACGCGAAAAACCUUACCUGGCCUUGACAUAGAAAGAACUUUCCAGAGAUGGAUUGGUGCCUUCGGAAACUUACAUACAGGUGCUGCAUGGCUGUCCUCAGCUCGUGUCGUGAGAUGUUGGGUUACUAAUUUAAGUCCCGCAACGAGCGCAACCCUUUUCCUUAUUUGCCAGCGAGUAAUGUCGGGAACUUUAAGGAUACUGCCAGUGACAAACUGGAGAAAGGCGGGAAACAACUUCAAGUCAUCAUGGCCCUUAGUACCCCUUACGGCCAGGCUACACACGUGCUACAAUGGUCGGUACAAAGGGUUGCUACCUAGCGACUAAUAGGAUGCUAAUCUCAAAAAGCCGAUCGUACUCCGGAAUUGAAGUCUGCAACUCCACUCAUGAAGUCGAAAUCACUAGUAGUCGCGAAUCAAAAUGCCCCGGUGAAUACUUUUUCCCGGCCUUAAUCUCGUACACCCCCCCUCCCACCCGCGGGAGGUUUUUACACCAAAAUAGCUUACGACUCCAAAGACAGAAAAGGCGCUGCCCGGGGCCAGAUACUAGGAAAGACCCCGACCCCUAAAC
rnacentral:rRNA from 1 species